rnacentral:rRNA from 1 species
UACGUAGGGUGCAAGCGUUAAUCGGAAUUACUGGGCGUAAAGCGUGCGCAGGCGGUUUGGUAAGACAGAUGUGAAAUCCCCGGGCUUAACCUGGGAAUUGCAUUUGUGACUGCCCGGCUAGAGUGUGUCAGAGGGGGGUAGAAUUCCACGUGUAGCAGUGAAAUGCGUAGAGAUGUGGAGGAACACCAGUGGCGAAGGCGGCCCGCUGGGCAGUGGCUGACGCUGAAGCGCGACAGCGUGGGGAGCAAACAGG